rnacentral:lncRNA from 1 species
GCGGCGCCCGCCAGCCUGUCCCGCGCCAUGGCCCCGCGCGCCCGGCGGCGCCGCCCGCUGUUCGCGCUGCUGCUGCUCUGCGCGCUGCUCGCCCGGCUGCAGGUGAUUCUGCGCACAUUGGAGAAGCACUGGAUUUCACCCUGAAGGCUGGGCAGUGAAGGAAGGGAGGGCAGCAGGUAAGGGGAAUGCUUCCUCCUUCCGUCACUUUGGGGACUCCUGGCCUGAGCAGUUCGUGCAGCCCCAGCAUGGAGGCAGAGCCUAGAGGGACGUGGCCUCCAGCCGGGGGUGCACUCUCAGAAGUGACCACAGGGCUUGUUGGCUUCUACUACGGAAAAGAAGAGAAAGCAGUUCUUAUCUGAAAUGAAUACAAAGUUAAAGAAAAAAACAAACCCCAAGAAUGACAAUGUAAAAAGGCUUUCACACUGGGAGAAUAAAGGGGCAUUCACUGGAGCCUGUGGAAAUAGGGGUGCAUCGUAACAUAAGGACAAGUCAAAGCCAUCCUAAUUACUGUAUUGAGGAAACAACCGGCCUUGCCCUUGGAUUCCAGGUAGCCCAGGGCUGCAGACUCUUCACUC